rnacentral:rRNA from 1 species
GGAUGCGAUCAUACCAGCACUAAAGCACCGGAUUCCAUCAGAACUGCAAAGUUAAGCGUGCUUGGGCGAGAGUAGUACUAGGAUGGGUGACCACUUGGGAAGUACUCGUGUUGCAUUCC